GUAGGGUGCGAGCGUUAAUCGGAAUUACUGGGCGUAAAGGGUGCGCAGGCGGUUCGCUAAGACAGGCGUGAAAGCCCCGGGCUUAACCUGGGAGGUGCGCUGGUGACUGGCUAACUAGAGUGCGGCAGAGGGGGGUGGAAUUCCACGUGUAGCAGUGAAAUGCGUAGGGAUGUGGAGGAACACCGAUGGCGAAGGCAGCCCCCUGGGCUAGCACUGACGCUCAGGCACGAAAGCGUGGGGAGCAAACAGGAUUAGAUACCCUGGUAGUCCACGCCCUAAACGAUGUCAACUGGUUGUCGGGGGGGUUACUCCUUGGUAACGAAGCUAACGCGUGAAGUUGACCGCCUGGGGAGUACAGCCGCAAGGUUG
rnacentral:rRNA from 1 species